GGCAGGGCCCUUGUUUCACUCAUCUGUGUGUCUGCAGUGCCUAAUAUAAAAUCUGAAAAUGAGAGGCCAUGUAAAUAAAUCUUUGAUGAGAUGUUCAAAGCGGGCUAUAAGCUCUUUGAGGGAAGGAUCCAUACAUUCCCAUCUUCUGCACCUUCUCCUUAUAAUCAAGAAGGACUCAUUGAUGUUGAUAUAAGGCAGAAUGAUUACAGGGAACUUGCUGUCAGCACUCUUGGACUAAUCUUUCCAGACACUUCUCUGAAGAGUGAAUGACUCCGAUCAAACCCUCCCCACAUCAGCAGUUGAGGAUGUGGAGGAGGAAUUUUAGAAGCUUGUGAUUCACUCCUCUGGCACAAGCACUUGUUAGCUCCUAAGCUUAAGCUGCCUGGCAUGGAAAGGCUACAGUAAUCAGAGACCACAAGGGUCUUUAUGCUUCUUGCUCCCUGACUUCAGAAUAGCCAACAGAAAAAGAAGGAAGCCAGUAGCUAUGAAUCCUGGUCCUGAACAGUCCUAGCUAUUGUCACAUGUAUGCCUUCUAUCAGCAAAACCAUUUACAUCACUCCAGACCUAUCCCCACCUGACAAUCUCCUUGACUGUCACCCAACCUAUGAUGGUUCUAGGGGAAUUGUAGGCCAAAAGUGAAGGAUUCCUUUGUUCCCAUCUCUAUGAUAGGACGACAUGUGGUCCUGAGUGCCAAGGUACUAAGAUAAGAGGGGUGCUCAAAAUGCCCAGAUGGCUGGAGAAUAAAAACCCGGAGAACAGAGCCAAGUUUGCACAGCAGACAAGGGCCACUGUGGCCAGGGCUGGAAGCACAGUGCUUGUCGUCCACAGGCAGCAGCGGAACUAAAGGGAAGCAAUCCCCCAACUCAGCUGGUGGGAGUUGGGCAACUUCCCAGCUGGAAGGAGCUCUCAAACACAUCCCUGUAAGCUACCCACGAAAGACAGAGAUGCCGUUAAAAACAACAAACAAAAGGAGCCGCUAAUCAAGAGGAACUUCAGACUUAAGAAUGGGAUUCAGUCAUCCUUCCAGAAAGAUGCAUGUCUGGACCAAGGCCCAAGAGCAUGACAUUCAGCUGCUGUACCCCUCUUUGGGGCCCAAGUUUGGAGGCACUGAAAGAAGAAGACACUCACAAAGGAGGCAGAUGGGAAAGCCCCAUACACAUGCAGUGUGGUUCCCAUACAGAAGAUUAGAAUUCAUCAGGUAUAAGCAAUCACAAUUGUAAUAGGCUGCUUAGAACUGAAGUCAUGUUUUGAAUAAGAAACCAGCAAAGACCUCAAAACUUCUAUCAUUCCCUUUCCCUCUAAACUUUGAAACAGAGCCGUUUGGCGACUGAUGCACACCACCGGAAAUCAGCAUCACUGAGUUGGAACCACCUCAGGUUCUGACUCCUCAAGACACCCCAAGCAAGGACUUUUUUCUGUGGUUAGCAAAACAAAGAUUAUGUCUUGGGCUGCAGUUAACAAAGUGGACAUGUCACCACACUCCCCGCUGCGUUCCUCCACACACAGAAACCUUCUGGAGGGAAUGAGUGUCAUGCAUACCAAGAUGAGGUGUACAGGGCUGGACAAAUGGGAGAUGAGGAGGCACAAGGGACUGGAAGAAAUGUACCACUAGUGGGGUACAUCUCCAAUACAGUGAUGAUAGACAGGAGCUCCCAGCCGGGGGAACAACAUGGCCCAAACUUUCUCCACAGAAGAGGCUGCACCAUGACUGCAAUGUCUUGGAAAAGUCUGUGAGAGGAAAGUGAAAUGGCUCACAAAGGUGUUAGAUGGGAAAAAGCAAAAGAAAAGGCUGAACCUGGUUCACAGAAGCAAGGCUGCUUACCACUUUACAGUUUCUUUUGUUCUAGCCAAAGUAGCUUUCCUUAGAGAGGAAAGCCAUCAGCUACUUACUCAUUUAAAAGACUGCCCUCUUCCCCCUCACAUUCAGCCCGACUGGGCUUACCUCAAGCACUCAGACCUGUAAUAGUUCUGACAAUAGCGUGGAGUUGUCCAAUAUGUUGUGUUCUGAUGUUUUAUGUAAUUUACAGGCUUUGUGACUUCAUAAAAAGCACAAGCACAGAGGAUGAAAAUGUAAAACAUGUAAAAAUUCAUCAGGUGAUAAGAGGAAAUCAUUUUUGGAUGCCUGAGGGGAAAACAGCCCACAAUGUUAUGAUGUAAUCCUUUCCAUCCUAGAGUGAUCAGGAUGUCUGAUCUUCCUUGUGCCCAACUGAAGAUGCCAGAGGAAGAAGACAUUUACACAGGACAGAUGUGGGCAACCUCAUGAGGUUCACAAAUCUCCCCAGCGCCUCUGUGAGGCAACCAGCUGAUUCAAAACUAAUUAAGUUUUAAAGCCUUGAAUUCUAGAAAACAGGAAUAUAAAUGAAAGAUGUCCAUGCCUGACAAUGGUGUCAAACUAACACAAAAUAUAGCAGAAUAAAAUAACACCUGACAGGAGCACCUGGGUGGCUCAGUCGGCUGAGUGUCUGACUCUUGGUUUCGGGUCAUGGUUCAUGGGAUCAAGCCCCGUGUCAGCCUCUG